rnacentral:misc_RNA from 1 species
GCGAAAUUAGCGCAACAGUAGGCAGAUAAUGAGAAAAAUUGUUGUGAAUAUGAAAGUUAAAGAAUUUCGUAUUGAAGAAGUGUUCUACACGCACAAGCGCUUGGCUAGCGCUGUCAUAACACAGUUAGAGAAGUGUAAAAAUAAAUUAAGAAAGUAAAAACAGAUAAGGUUAUUUCUUAAAAAUUAUUAUUUAUUAGCGUGCAUAUAUUUUUAGAUUAAUUUUAUACCGUUAUGUGUGUGCAGAAAUAUCACUUAAUAAAUGUCUUAAAUCGAGGCGAUUUUCGACCGAGCUCUUCUUCCAGUUUGUAAUGCACGUCUUGAAGAGAUGCAUUGAAUUUAAGCUAUAAUUCAGUCGUAUUGGGUAUGCUCAAAUAUUCAGAUCUUUAGAAUAUAAUCGAAUAUAGAAAUGAAUAUGAAUUUAUGCAAUACUAACCACUCGACCAGCACGACCGCCAAACUCAUGUUUAAUUUUAGUAAAUACUUUGCAUGAUGGAAUACUUUUAUUUCCUGAAAAUUGACCAGAGUUCUGAAACCAAGUUCGAUUUACUCGAAAUACAAGUAAUACUUUCCUAACAGAGAAGGGAUCAUCGCCAGGUUGACAAGAAUCGGUAUGAUCUGAAUAAAAGCAUGGGACAUGAGGAAAUAUAUUCGCUUCACAUUUUUCUUAUUUUU